rnacentral:tRNA from 1 species
ACCUGGCUGGCUCAGUCGGUAGAGCAUGUGACUCUUGAUCACAGGGUUGUGAGUUUGAGCCUCACAUUGGAUA